GUAGAGCAAUUGGCUGAAUCCGGGGAGAAUUCGGACAUGUCAGAGACGCAGCUAUCUGCAUGGAAGAGGGUAAAGAUAUGUAGAAGAAAAAAAAGAGGCACACAAGAUCAUUGAUAUCAAGAGACUGUAUCCUACAGGGGUCAGGACGGGAAUUCAAAGACUGUAUCCCACAUGGGUCAGGAUGGGAAUUGAAAGAGUGUAUCCUACAGGGGUAAGGGUGGGACUACAAAGAGCGUAUCCUACAGGGAUCAGGGUAGGACUAAAAAGAGUGCAUCCUACAGGGGUCAGGAUGGGAAUUCACAGAGUGUAUCCUAAAGGGGUAAGGGUGGGAAUUCAAAGACUGUAACCUUAAGGGGUCAGGGUGGGAAUUCAAAGAGUGUAUCCUACAGAGGUCAGGAUGGGAAUUCAAAGACUGUAUCCUAAGGGGUCAGGGUGGGAAUUCAAAGAGUGUAUCCUACAGGGGUAAGGGUGGGACUACAAAGAGUGAAUCCUACUGGGGUCAGGAUGGGAAUAUAAAGACUGUAUCCUAAAGGGGUCAGGGUGGGAAUUCAAAGAGUGUAUCCUACAGAGGUCAGGGUGUGAAUUCAAAGAGUGUAUCCUACAGGGGUCAGGGUGGGAAUUCAAAGAGUGUAUCCUACAGAGAUCAGGGUGGGAUUCAAAAGAGUGUAUCCUACAGGGGUCAAGGUGGGAAUUCAAAGAGUGUAUCCUAAAGGGGUCAGGGUGGGAAUUCAAAGAGUGUAUCCUACAGGGGUCAGGAUGGGACUACAAAGAGUGUAUCCUAAAGGGGUCAGGGUGGGAAUUCAAAGAGUGUAUCCUACGGGGGUCAGGGUGGGAAUUCAGAGAGUGUAUCCUAGAGGGGUCAGGAUGGGACUACAAAGAGUGUAUCCUACAGGGGUCAGGAUGGGACUACAAAGAGUGUAUCCUACAUGGGUCAGGGUGGGCAUUCAAAGAGUAUAUCUUACAUGGGAUGAUUUCAUCAUUGGUCAAUAAUUAUUUCAUUUGUGGGCAUGGACAAAUGAGUUUUGAAAGUACUAUGCAGAAAUUAGAAUGGGAAUAUUUCACUGUCAAAUCGUGUUUUCAAGUAUUUCUUUUAUCAAUAAGUUUCCUGACACAAGCAAAGUCCAUUGCUCAUUACUUGACUUUCGGGGCAUGGCUAUCUUAUUUACAGGUUGAUUUCAUAUGUUUUUUUUUUAAUUACAUGUAAAUGACUUAAUAACUUCUUAUAGUGAAACUGAUUUCUUUACAUACUUGCUUUCCUUUAUCUCACUUUUUAGUAAAAAGUGAGAAACUGAGAAAAAAAUUACUAAGACCGUCUGUAUGACUGUCAUCAUUCAAACUAUAUUAAUUGAAAUCGUGAACACUGAAGAGAGAUGAUACCUACGAUAAACGUUAAGGCAUAUCAAAGAAAAUAUCAACGAUACAUUCGUUUAGAGUAAUUAAGGAUUCAUUUUUUUCCGAGAGAUGUAAAGUUUUUAGAGUAAAUGAAAUGUGGCGAAAGGAGACAUCCUUGUUUAAAUUGAAGAUGAUACACACGCACACUCACCCAAUAAUUGUUAGGAAAAACAAUCGAAUAGAUUCAUGCACGUGCAAUUGGUAUAAUCUUACAUGUAUAUACAUGUACACAUACAAAUGGUGCUAUACAAAUGUGUGCAAUUUUUUCAAUGAAAUGUAAUGGAUGAUAUAUGUAUAUCCGGUAUCUGGGGCAAUUAGGACUUACCGUACGUAUGACUUGCUAUAGCACAAUUAAGUUUUAUUAAGAGACAUAUAUUAACAAUACGAUCAUACAUAUUACAGGU
rnacentral:lncRNA from 1 species